rnacentral:piRNA from 1 species
UGCCGUUGGGAUAUCUAAUUUGCACAAG